GCUUUAAUUAACCGACCCAAAGAGACCCCUCUAACCAACCGACAGGAACAACAAAUCUCUACAUGGGCCGACAAUUUAGGUUGGGGUGACCUCGGAGAAUAAAACAACCUCCGAGUGAUUUAAAUCCAGACUAACCAGUCAAAAGUAUUACAUCACUUAUUGAUCCAAAAACUUGAUCAACGGAACAAGUUACC
rnacentral:rRNA from 1 species